rnacentral:rRNA from 1 species
UUGACCUCAAAUCAGGUAGGACUACCCGCUGAACUUAAGCAUAUCAAUAAGCGGAGGAAAAGAAACUAACAAGGAUUCCCCUAGUAACUGCGAGUGAAGCGGGAAAAGCUCAAAUUUAAAAUCUGGCGGUCUCCGGCCRUCCGAGUUGUAAUCUAGAGAAGUGUUAUCCGCGCUGGACCGUGUACAAGUCUCCUGGAAUGGAGCGUCAUAGAGGGUGAGAAUCCCGUCUUUGACACGGACUGCCAGGGCUUUGUGAUGCGCUCUCAAAGAGUCGAGUUGUUUGGGAAUGCAGCUCAAAAUGGGUGGUAAAUUCCAUCUAAAGCUAAAUAUUGGCGAGAGACCGAUAGCGAACAAGUACCGUGAGGGAAAGAUGAAAAGAACUUUGGAAAGAGAGUUAAACAGUACGUGAAAUUGCUGAAAGGGAAACGCUUGAAGUCAGUCGCGUUGGCCGGGGAUCAACCUUGCUUUUGCUGGGCGUACUUUCCGGUUGACGGGUCAGCAUCAAUUUUGACCGUUGGAUAAAGUCCAGGGGAAUGUGGCAUCUUCGGAUGUGUUAUAGCCCUUGGU